CCUACGGGAGGCAGCAGUGGGGGAUAUUGCACAAUGGGGGAAACCCUGAUGCAGCGACGCCGCGUGUGGGAAGACGGUCCUCUGGAUUGUAAACCACUGUCCCCAGGGACGAAGAUGACGGUACCUGGGGAGGAAGCUCCGGCUAACUACGUGCCAGCAGCCGCGGUAAUACGUAGGGAGCGAGCGUUGUCCGGAAUUACUGGGUGUAAAGGGAGCGUAGGCGGGACUGCAAGUUGGGUGUCAAAUCUACCGGCUCAACCGGUAGCCGCACUCAAAACUGCAGUUCUUGAGUGAAGUAGAGGCAGGCGGAAGUCCUAGUGUAGCGGUGAAAUGCGUAGAUAUUAGGAGGAACACCAGUGGCGAAGGCGGCAUGCUGGGCUUUUACUGACGCUGAGGCUCGAAAGUGUGGGGAGCAAACAGGAUUAGAUACCCUUGUAGUC
rnacentral:rRNA from 1 species